UGGGGAAUAUUGGACAAUGGGGGCAACCCUGAUCCAGCAAUGCCGCGUGUGUGAAGAAGGUCUUCGGAUUGUAAAGCACUUUCGACGGGGACGAUGAUGACGGUACCCGUAGAAGAAGCCCCGGCUAACUUCGUGCCAGCAGCCGCGGUAAUACGAAGGGGGCUAGCGUUGCUCGGAAUGACUGGGCGUAAAGGGCGUGUAGGCGGUUUACACAGUCAGAUGUGAAAUCCCCGGGCUUAACCUGGGAGCUGCAUUUGAUACGUGUAGACUAGAGUGUGAGAGAGGGUUUGUGGAAUUCCCAGUGUAGAGGUGAAAUUCGUAGAUAUUGGGAAGAACACCGGUGGCGAAGGCGGCAACCUGGCUCAUGACUGACGCUGAGGCGCGAAAGCGUGGGGAGCAAACAGGUUAGAUACCCUGGUAGUCCACGCUGUAAACGAUGUGUGCUAGAUGUUGGGUAACUU
rnacentral:rRNA from 1 species